GACGAACGCUGGCGGCGUGCUUAACACAUGCAAGUCGAACGGGUCUGCCCUGUUUUUUGCGGGGUGGGUCAGUGGCGAACGGGUGAGUAACACGUGAGUAACCUGCCCCUCACUUCUGGAUAACCGCUUGAAAGGGUGGCUAAUACGGGGUGUUCUGGCUGUGCCGCAUGGUGUGGCUGGGAAAGAUUCACUUUUGUGGUGUUUUGGUGGGGGAUGGGCUCGCGGCCUAUCAGCUUGUUGGUGGGGUGAUGGCCUGCCAAGGCUUUGACGGGUAGCCGGCCUGAGAGGGUGGGCGGUCACACUGGGACUGAGAUACGGCCCAGACUCCUGCGGGAGGCAGCAGUGGGGGGUAUUGCACAAUGGGCGGAAGCCUGAUGCAGCGACGUCGCGUGAGGGAUGGAGGCCUUCGUGUUGUGAACCUCUUUCGCCGGUGAAGAAGGUCCUGCUCUUUGUGGUGGGGUUGACGGUAGCCGGGUUAUGAAGCGCCGGCUAACUACGUG
rnacentral:rRNA from 1 species